AACUAACGCUGGCGGCGUGCCUAACACAUGCAAGUCGUACGAGAAAGUCGGCUUCGGCUGAUGAGUAAAGUGGCGCACGGGUGAGUAACGCGUGGAUAAUCUGCCUUUUAGUUGGGAAUAACGUACCGAAAGGUGCGCUAAUACCGGAUAAUACUGCAUAACUACUGUUGUGUAGUCAAAGAAGGCCUCUGUUUACAAGCUUUUGCUGAAAGAUGAGUCCGCGUACCAUUAGCUAGUUGGUAGGGUAAUGGCCUACCAAGGCUACGAUGGUUAGCUGGUCUGAGAGGAUGAUCAGCCACACUGGAACUGAGACACGGUCCAGACUCCUACGGGAGGCAGCAGUGAGGAAUAUUGCGCAAUGGGGGCAACCCUGACGCAGCAACGCCGCGUGAGUGAGGAAGGUUUUCGGACCGUAAAGCUCUGUCGAGCGGGAAGAAAUGUAUCGUGGCUACUAUCCAUGAUAUUUGACGGUACCGCUAAAGGAAGCACCGGCUAA
rnacentral:rRNA from 1 species